CCAGACUCCUACGGGAGGCAGCAGUGGGGAAUAUUGGACAAUGGGGGGAACCCUGAUCCAGCGACGCCGCGUGAGUGAAGAAGUAUUUCGGUAUGUAAAGCUCUAUCAGCAGGGAAGAAAGAAAUGACGGUACCUGACUAAGAAGCCCCGGCUAACUACGUGCCAGCAGCCGCGGUAAUACGUAGGGGGCAAGCGUUAUCCGGAUUUACUGGGUGUAAAGGGAGCGUAGACGGCGAUGCAAGUCUGAAGUGAAAGGCGGGGCCCAACCCCCAGACUUCUUUGGAAACUGUAUGGCUGGAGUGCAGGAGAGGUAAGUGGAAUUCCUAGUGUAGCGGUGAAAUGCGUAGAUAUCAGGAGGAACACCGGCGGCGAAGGCGGCCUGCUGGACCGUGACUGACGUUGAGGCUCGAGAGCGUGGGGAGCAAACAGGAUUAGAUACCCUUGUAG
rnacentral:rRNA from 1 species